rnacentral:rRNA from 1 species
UUGCGUAGGUGGCAUAGUAAGUAGAUAGUGAAAGCGUGGGGCUCAACCUCAUAUCCAUUAUCUAAACUGCUAAGCUAGAGGGCGAGAGAGGUAACUAGAAUUCCUUGUGUAGGAGUGAAAUCCGUAGAUAUAAGGAGGAAUACCGAUGGCGUAGGCAGGUUACUGGCUCGUCCCUGACACUAAGGCACGAAAGCGUGGGGAGCAAACG